GACGAACGCUGGCGGCGUGCUUAACACAUGCAAGUCGAACGGCAAGGCCCUGCUUUUGUGGGGUGCUCGAGUGGCGAACGGGUGAGUAACACGUGAGUAACCUGCCCUUGACUUUGGGAUAACUUCAGGAAACUGGGGCUAAUACCGGAUAGGAGCUCCUGCUGCCUGGUGGGGGUUGGAAAGUUUCGGCGGUUGGGGAUGGACUCGCGGCUUAUCAGCUUGUUGGUGGGGUAGUGGCCUACCAAGGCUUUGACGGGUAGCCGGCCUGAGAGGGUGACCGGCGACAUUGGGACUGAGAGACGGCGCAGACGGCUACGGGAGGCAGCAGGGGGGAAUAUUGCACAAUGGUCGGGAGCCUGAGGCGGCGACGCCGCGUGCGGGAUGACGGCCUGCGGGUUGUAAACCGCUUUCGCCUAUGACGAAGCGUGAGUGACGGUAAUGGGUGAAGAAGCACCGGCUAACUACGUG
rnacentral:rRNA from 1 species